rnacentral:rRNA from 1 species
AUUGAACGCUGGCGGCAGGCCUAACACAUGCAAGUCGAACGAGUGGCGGACGGGUGAGUAAUGUAUGGGACACUGCCCGAUGGAGAGGGUUAACUACUGGAAACGGUAGCUAAUACCGCCUACCAUCGGAUGUGCCCAGAUGGGUGUCGCUAGUAGGUGGGGUAACGGCUUACCUAGGCGACGAUCCGUAGCUGGUCUGAGAGGAUGAUCAGUCACACGGGAACUGAGACACGGUCCAGACUCCUACGGGAGGCAGCAGUGGGGAAUAUUGGACAAUGGGCGAAAGCCUGAUGCAGCCAUGCCGCGUGUAUGAAGAAGGUCUUCGGGUUGUAAAGUACUUUCAGUUGGGAGGCGUUACUAGCAGAAGAAGCACCGGCUAACUCCGUGCCAGCAGCCGCGGUAAUUC